rnacentral:rRNA from 1 species
ACUCCUACGGGAGGCAGCAGUAGGGAAUCUUCCGCAAUGGGCGAAAGCCUGACGGAGCAACGCCGCGUGAGUGAUGAAGGUCUUCGGAUCGUAAAACUCUGUUAUUAGGGAAGAACAAAUGUGUUAAGUACUAUGCACGNCUUUGACGGUACCUAAUCAGAAAGCCACGGCUAACUACGUGCCAGCAGCCGCGGUAAUACGUAGGUGGCAAGCGUUAUCCGGAAUUAUUGGGCGUAAAGCGCGCGUAGGCGGUUUUUAAGUCUGAUGUGAAAGCCCACGGCUC